rnacentral:lncRNA from 1 species
AAGAAAAUCAAAAUCUGAAAUAUAUAAUAUUUUAUAAUAUUUUCAAGUACAAUACAUACAUAGUAUGAAACAUUGUAUAAAAUAGUAUACAAAUGUUUGUUCUAUUUAUAUUAGUUGAGCAUCAUAUGUAAAAUAGUACGAGAAGAAAUAAAAGUACUUAUUGAUGAAAAGACGUUCUUGAACUAUACAUGACCCUAACAUUGUCAAACAUUUGAAUGAAACUAAUUUUAUAUUACGAGCAAUCAUACAAAAAGGCAUAGAAGAGAAAUAUUAAAUUUGAAGACAUGACAUAUAAACCCUAAACUCUAGUAUGAGAAAGAAAUUACUAAACUCUAAAUCCUAAACCCAAAUAUAAACCCUAAACCAUAAUCACUAAACCCUAAACCCAAAUAUAAACCCUAAUCACUAAACCCUAAACCCAAAUAUAAACCCUAAACACUAAACUCUACUCACCCACUUAAAUACUAAAACCCUAGACAAACCCCUAGUUACUAAAUCUAAACCCAAAUAACUAAAUUAUAAACCCAAACAAAAUCUAUAUAAUAUGUUGUCAAUUUUCUCAAUAUACACGACAUAGUAUGGAACCGCUAUAAAUAGUAUAGAAGUACUGGUCCACUCCAUUUACAUUUUCCAAAUGACCAAGUUUGAGAACGAAAUUACUAAACCCUAAACACUAAUCACUAAAUCUUAAACCCAAAUAUAA